AUGUUAGCUUUGGCAGCACACAUUCUAAAAUUGAAACAAUACAGAGAUUAGCAUGGCAUCUGCACAAGGAUGACAUGCAAAUUCAUGAAGUGUUCUACAUUAAA
rnacentral:snRNA from 1 species